ACUAAACUGUGGGGAGGUAAAAAACUUGCAUUUGACUUUUGAAUGCCUUUUCUCAGGGAAAAGGCUUUCAUCUAAAAAUGCGGAUUUUCUUGCUACUUUUUCUGGAACAAGCAGGCUCUGUGUGUGGUAUUCUCCUCUAUCAAAAGCCAAACAGGAACAUAUGUCAACAUGGGACCUCCAUGAAAAUCGAAUGUCAGGUUGAUAGCCAAGUCUCCAUGAUGUACUGGUACCGUCAGUUCCCAGGACAGAGCAUGAUGCUGAUUGCAACUGCAAAUCAAGGUGCUGAGGCUACAUAUGAGAGUGGAUUUACCAAGGACAAGUUUUCCAUCACUCGUCCAAAUCUAACAUUUUCAACUCUGACUGUGAAAAACAUGAGUCCUGAUGACAGCAGCUUCUAUCUCUGCAGUGCUGAAGACACAGUGCUGGAUGCAGAUCAGAGAUCUGAGCAAGAAACUCAGCUCCCUCCUACUCAGAUCCCCUCAGAUGAGCCUGAGGACCCUGCCAAAGUGGGAUGGGAGGAAACCACAGCUGCUGAACAGAAAGCUUCUUAUGUGUUUGUGGGUGGGCAUUAG